rnacentral:rRNA from 1 species
CUGGCCGUAAACGAUGGUCACUAGGUGUCUGUGGUAUCGACCCCAUGGGUGCCGGAGCUAACGCGUGAAGUGACCCGCCUGGGGAGUACGGCCGCAAGGUUGAAACUCAAAGGAAUUGACGGGGGCCCGCACAAGCGGUGGAGUAUGUGGUUUAAUUCGAUGCAACGCGAAGAACCUUACCAGGGCUUGACAUCCCGGGAACCGCCUGGAAACAGGCGGGUGCCUUUCGGGGAGCCCGGAGACAGGUGG